CGGGUUUUCAGUGAAAUCCAAUCUCUAGAACUAUGCAAUCCACCAACCGCUCCAUUUCAGAAGUAACUUCAUAAGAACCUGAAUUGUCUGUUUUCAUGGACCAAUCGAUAUCGGAUUGUGUCCAAUCCUUGAAGAACAACAUAACAUGGUGGGAAGAGUCAUUUGGUGCGUUUUGAGUGAAAUCCAAAGGCUAAAACUAUGCAAU
rnacentral:lncRNA from 1 species